AAACGCUGAUGAACGCAAAGAACUUCUGCGAUGUACAACGCUACUGCGUUUCACUUUAUGUUUGCUAGGGGGCGGCCUUGUAACACUAACGCUCUCAUCCAUGUUCCGAAUGAGGUUAUUAUGUUAUGUACUCCCUAAAAACGUGCGAUUUCGUUGAUCGUCCGUUUGAUCUAUCUGUCACUAAAAUACACUUAUAUCGCUCGUUAUUAUCAAUCACCAAUAUUCACCGUUAUCUAAUGAUUUUCUAACAGAGAACUGGAAGAAGGUGGCCUGUUUUUUUUUCCGAUUUAUACGAAAAUCGUGGCAAUGUCCCCUGGGUCCGGAUGUUUGGACAGCAAGAGAAACGAUUAGAAAGAGAGAGUCUCCCCCCUGUAUCAUUUAGUCAGGAUUUGCAAGACCAGCCGGAAAGCAGCAAGAUGACAGAUAUUGAAUUGAUAUUGGGGCAAAAUUUCAAGGUGGAUCCAUCGAAUACAGGGUGACCCAUUUAUCAAAGGAUGAAUUUCGAAUUCAUGUGAAUUUAUUUUGACUCUAAUAAAU